rnacentral:rRNA from 1 species
AUUGAACGCUGGCGGCAGGCCUAACACAUGCAAGUCGAGCGAGCGGCGGACGGGUGAGUAAUGUAUGGGGACUGCCCGAUAGAGGGGGAUAACUACUGGAAAAGGUAGCUAAUACCGCAUACUAUCGGAUAACCCAUAUGUGAUUAGCUAGUAGGUGAGGUAAUGGCUCACCAAGGCGACGAUCCCUAACGGGUCUGAGAGGCUGAUCAGCCACACUGGGACGGAGACACGGCCCAGACUCCUACGGAGGCAGCAGUGGGGAAUAUUGAACAAUGGGCGAAAGCCUGAUGCAGCCAUGCCGCGUGUAUGAAGAAGGCCCUAGGGUUGUAAAGUACUUUAAGUCGGGAGGCGUUACCGACAGAAGAAGCACCGGCUAACUCCGUGCCAGCCGCCGCGAUAAUUC